rnacentral:rRNA from 1 species
UACGUAGGGGGCAAGCGUUGUCCGGAUUCAUUGGGCGUAAAGCGCGUGUAGGCGGCUUGGCAAGUCCGCUGUGAAAACUCGAGGCUCAACCUCGAGAUGUCGGUGGAAACUGCCUGGCUAGAGUACGGAAGAGGAGUGUGGAAUUCCUGGUGUAGCGGUGAAAUGCGCAGAUAUCAGGAAGAACACCUAUGGCGAAGGCAGCACUCUGGGACGGUACUGACGCUGAGACGCGAAAGCGUGGGGAGCGAACAGG